AUAGCUUAAUUUAAACAAAAAUGAUUGAAAUAUAAAUAGAAGACACGUCUUCAUUGUUUUUUGCUCAACACUUUACGCAUUCCAUGCGAAAAUUCAAAAGCAUUUCUUCGGCUACUUCAAACGCAGUGCUUGCAGCGCUUCCUGCUCGAUGUCGUCAGAGAUGGUGGCCAACGUCAA